AUGCCGGGUCGCAUAAAAAUUGAAUUUAAUGAUUCGCUAAAAUUUAAUGGAACAAUAACGCUCGGCAUUAGUGUAAUACGUCGGAUAUGAAAAAAAUAAAAAUAAAAAUUUGGUAAUAUCUCUACCGGCGCUGCUGUGUCGUCGAAGCUGCACCUCACCGGCGUCCGCGAUUCGAAAUAAUACGUCGUCUUGGUCUCAGACCGCGCCACGCUGCUGUCUCUGUGCCCGCGUUGGCGCGUUAUCUUCGCGGCAGUGUCGAAACAUACUUCGCCGCCGUCGUCGUAAUAAAAUAGAAAAUCGAAUAGCUCGGAGUUGGUGUAUGACCGUACGGGCACGAACAGGAUUUUUUUUUUAUUUCGGCGAGGAGGGGUGGCAAAAUUUUACAAAUGCCUCAGUCCUUUAAUUUUUAUUAUUUUUAUUGACGUCAAACGUUAACAUAAAUAUAUACGUUAAAAAUACUAAUAUAAUUUUACCAAAUUACUAAAUUACAUAGUCUUAAGAGAGUAUAUCAGCAAAUUAUUUUCAGAACAUUAUUGCAGCCUAUAUAUAU
rnacentral:lncRNA from 1 species